CGGCCGCGCGCGCCGACAUGGGCGAGAAGCUGGAGCUGAGGCUCAAGUCGCCUGUGGGCGCGGAGCCCGCCGUCUACCCGUGGCCGCUGCCGGUCUACGACAAGCACCAUGAUGCUGCUCAUGAGAUUAUCGAGACUAUCCGAUGGGUCUGCGAGGAAAUCCCAGAUCUCAAGCUGGCCAUGGAGAACUAUGUCCUGAUCGACUACGACACCAAAAGUUUUGAAAGCAUGCAGAGGCUGUGUGACAAAUAUAACCGGGCCAUUGACAGCAUCCACCAGCUGUGGAAGGGCACUACACAGCCCAUGAAGCUCAAUACUCGGCCGUCCAAUGGGCUCCUGCGGCACAUCCUGCAGCAGGUGUACAACCACUCUGUGACCGACCCAGAGAAGCUCAACAACUACGAGCCCUUCUCCCCCGAGGUGUACGGGGAGACCUCCUUUGA
rnacentral:lncRNA from 1 species